rnacentral:sRNA from 1 species
UAUUUCAAUUGUUUUUCAUUUAUUUGUUUCAAUUGUUCAUUUAAAUUAUUUGAUUUUAUUACUUAUCUGAAUCGAUUAUUUAAAUUAUUUAUUGAAUAAGCAAAGGUAAAUAUUUAAUUAUUCAUUUCAAAUGUUAGAAAUUUAUUUCAAUUAAAAUUUAAUUAAUAUUUUCAUUAUUAACAUUUAUUCAUUUAACAUUUAAAUAAUCGUGUAAUUAUUAUUUAAAUGUUCAUAUUUUUUUUGUGCAUUUCAAUUUAUUAUUUAUUCCAAUUAUUUUUCAUUAUUUGUUUCAAUUGUUCAUUUAAAUUAUUUGAUUUAAUUACUUAUAUGGAAAGAUUAUUUAAAUUAUUUAUUGAACAAGAAAAAGUAGUUAUUUAAUUCAAAUGUUAGAAAUUUGUAUCAAUUAAAUUUUAAUUGGGUAUUUUGAUUAAUAACAUUUAUUUAUUUAUCAUUUAAAUAAUCAUUUAAUUAUUAUUUAAAUGUUCAUUAUUUAUUUUUGUGAGAAAUUAAUUAUUUAUUCCAAUGAUUUUUCAUUUCAAUUGUUCAUUUAAAUUAUUUGAUUUAAUUAUUUGAUUAUUUAAAUUAUUUAUUGAACAAGUAAACGUAAAUAUUAAAUUAUUUAUUUCAAAUGUUAGAAAUUUCUUUCAAUUAAUCUGUAAUUAAAUUUUAAUUGCGUAUUUUGAUUAUUAACAUUUAUUCAUUAUUUAUAUUUUUCUUUUAUCAUUUAAAUAAUUAUUUAUUAUUUAAAUAAUAAUUAAAUAAUUAUUUAAAUGAUAAAAAAAUUAAAAUAAAAAAAUUAUUCUACAGAUGACCCAAACAGGCAGUCUGUUAACAGACAACCUGUGCCGUCUGUUAGACGGCCACAGACGGCCGUCUUCUUCAACAGCAGAGGCCGUCUGCAAGGCCUCUGCCCGGAGAUCACUAUUUUCGACGAUCUCCUGCAACCAAACCUUAAAAAAACUUUAUUUUUACUAAUUUUACAUAUUCUACAAAGAUUUCUAUAACUAUUUCCAACAAAAUAAAAUGGGGGGAAAAUUAUGC